rnacentral:rRNA from 1 species
UACGGAGGGGGCGAGCGUUAUUCGGAAUUAUUGGGCGUAAAGGGCGCGUAGGCGGCUUGAUGUGUCAAAGGUGAAAUCCCUCGGCUCAACUGAGGAACUGCCUUUGAAACUGUCUGGCUUGAGGCCGGGAGAGGGUAGCGGAAUUCCCAGUGUAGCGGUGAAAUGCGUAGAUACUGGGAGGAACACCGGUGGCGAAGGCGGCUAUCUGGACCGGUUCUGACGCUGAUGCGCGAAAGCGUGGGUAGCAAACAGG